GAUGAACGCUGGCGGCGUGCCUAAUACAUGCAAGUCGAGCGAACAGACGAGGAGCUUGCUCCUCUGACGUUAGCGGCGGACGGGUGAGUAACACGUGGAUAACCUACCUAUAAGACUGGGAUAACUUCGGGCAACCGGAGCUAAUACCGGAUAACAUGUUGAACCGCAUGGUUCAACAGUGAAAGACGGUCUUGCUGUCACUUAUAGAUGGAUCCGCGCCGCAUUAGCUAGUUGGUAAGGUAACGGCUUACCAAGGCAACGAUGCGUAGCCGACCUGAGAGGGUGAUCGGCCACACUGGAACUGAGACACGGUCCAGACUCCUACGGGAGGCAGCAGUAGGGAAUCUUCCGCAAUGGGCGAAAGCCUGACGGAGCAACGCCGCGUGAGUGAAGAAGGUCUUCGGAUCGUAAAACUCUGUUAUUAGGGAAGAACAAAUGUGUAAGUAACUAUGCACGUCUUGACGGUACCUAAUCAGAAAGCCACGGCUAACUACGUG
rnacentral:rRNA from 1 species